CAAGUAUUAAUGGAGAAUUUCUCUUGGGCUGUUUUAACCCUGGCAUGCCUGGCUGCUCUAUACCUCGUCUCAAAAAAUUUCUUCUCCCAACUCCACAAACUGAAAUAUCCACCAGGUCCUAAACCAUGGCCUAUAAUUGGCAACCUCAACCUCAUUGGUCCUCUGCCUCAUCAAUCCUUUCACAAAUUGUCCCAAACUUAUGGACCAAUAAUGCAGCUCAAUUUUGGCUCCUUCCCAGUUGUAAUUGCCUCAUCUCCAGAAAUGGCAAAACUGUUUUUAAAGAUACAUGAUCACGUAUUUGCCUCUAGACCCCAAACUGCAGCAGGCAAGUACCUCACUUAUGACCACCUCAAUGUCACUUGGGCACCUUAUGGUCCAUAUUGGCGUCAAGGCCGGAAAAUCUUCCUCUCCGAGCUAUUUAGCUCAAGAAGACUGGAGUCUUUCGAGUACAUUAGGGUUGAGGAAAGUCACGCUUUUGUGUCGCGACUCUAUGCCUUGUCAGGAAAGCAAAUCAUGCUUAAAGAGCAUCUGUCACGCCUAACUCUUAGUAUUAUGAGCAGAAUUGUGUUUGGUAAGGAGUAUUUUGGCGUGUCCAAAUUUGAGAGUUCGGUAAUGUCACUCAAAGAAUUCCAGGACACAUUGGAUGAGUUGUUCUUGCUUAGCGGGGUAUUCAACAUAGGGGAUUGGAUACCAUGGCUUAAUUUUUUAGACUUACAAGGGUAUGUAAAGCGAAUGAAGGCCUUAACGAAAAAAUUGGACCGGUUUUAUGAGUUUGUGCUCGAUGAACACAAGACAAAGAAGGAAGGAGUGGAGGAAUUUGUGUCAGAAGACAUGGUGGAUUUACUGUUGCGGCUGGUUGAUGACCCUAAUGAUCUUGAAAUUAAGCUCACUUACGACAGUGUCAAGGCAAUCACUCAGGUAGCUUCUUAAAUUAUUUCUUAUUUAAUUUCCGAACAUUAGGGUAAUGCUCUUUGGGCAAACAUAAGCAUUAUAACAUUUGCAUCCUUAGAUAUAUGAGAACUUCUGUAAAAAGACACAAGUUAAUGAUAUAAACACAAAUGAUUCACUUUGUUCAUUCAAAUUAAAACCAGGACUCAGUAGCAGGAGGCACUGAUACUUCUGCAACCACUUUGGAGUGGGCAAUGUCUGAACUCAUAAAACAACCAAACCUCAUCAAAAAGGCAACACAGGAGCUUGACAGAGUGAUUGGGAGAGAGAGAUGGGUAGAAGAGAAAGACCUUGAAAACCUUCCUUAUAUAGAUGCAAUUAUGAAAGAGACCAUGAGGAAGCACCCUGUAGUGGCAAUGCUACCACCACAUCUAGCUCUUGAAGAUUGCAAUGUGGCAGGCUAUGAUAUUUGCAAAGGAACUUUAGUGUUUGUGAACACGUGGAGCAUGGGGAGAGACCCCACGCUGUGGGAUGCACCAGAUGAGUUUAGGCCUGAGAGGUUCAUAGGGAAGGCAAUUGAUGUGAAGGGACAGAGUUUUGAGUUCUUGCCAUUUGGCUCAGGAAGGAGGAUGUGCCCUGGUUAUAGUCUUGGACUGAAAGUGAUAAGGUCUUGCUUGGCCAACAUGUUACAUGGGUUCAAUUGGAAAUUGUCUGAGAAUGUGAAAAAAGAAGAUUUGAGCAUGGAGGAAGUUUAUGGAUUGUUAACACCUCGGAAGUUCCCACUUGUUGCCGUAGUUGAACCUCGGCUACCAAUCUAUCUUUACUAGUGAUAUUGAAUCUGAGUGUCCGGAUAUGUAUUAUGAACCUUCUCUAUAAAAAUAAAACUGUGUAUGAACGUUUGUGAUGGUAACUUCCACUGCUUUGUUGAUUACACCGUCUCUGCACUCUGCAUUAUGCCUCUUCUCCUAGAAUGAGUUAGAUUAAUCUCAUCUGGGAAUAUGAACUAUAUGUUUCGAGAUUAGGGAGACUUAUUGACAUGUGUGGUGUUUGUGGGCUGUUGGACUAAUCCACCAGCUUCCAGCAUGUAAUGCUCGUUUUACAGUCUAAGAUGAUUGCCAAUGCCAGAUCUGGUGUGACAAUUUUUAUCAUAU
rnacentral:lncRNA from 1 species